rnacentral:rRNA from 1 species
CAGGGCUUGACAUCCUGCUAACGAGGUAGAGAUACGUCAGGUGCCCUUCGGGGAAAGCAGAGACAGGUGGUGCAUGGUUGUCGUCAGCUCGUGUCGUGAGAUGUUGGGUUAAGUCCCGCAACGAGCGCAACCCUUAUUGUUAGUUGCUACGCAAGAGCACUCUAGCGAGACUGCCGUUGACAAAACGGAGGAAGGUGGGGACGACGUCAAAUCAUCAUGCCCCUUAUGUCCUGGGCUACACGCGUAAUACAAUGGCGGCCAACAGAGGGAGGCAAAGCCGUGAGGUGGAGCGAACCCCUAAAAGCCGUCCCAGUUCAGAUUGCAGUCUGCAACUCGACUGCAUGAAGUCGGAAUCGCUAGUAAUCGCGGAUCAGCAUGCCGCGGUGAAUACGUUCCC